UAUCUUCAGGUACGAUCUUUGC
rnacentral:siRNA from 1 species